GACGAACGCUGGCGGCGUGCUUAACACAUGCAAGUCGAACGGAAAGGCCCUGCUUUUGUGGGGUGCUCGAGUGGCGAACGGGUGAGUAACACGUGAGUAACCUGCCCUUGACUUUGGGAUAACUUCAGGAAACUGGGGCUAAUACCGGAUAGGAGCUCCUGCUGCAUGGUGGGGGUUGGACAGUUUCGGCGGAUGGGGAUGGACUCGCGGCUUAUCAGCUUGUUGGUGGGGUAGUGGCUUACCAAGGCUUUGACGGGUAGCCGGCCUGAGAGGGUGACCGGCCACAUUGGGACUGAGAUACGGACCAGACUCCUACGGGAGGCAGCAGUGGGGAAUAUUGCACAAUGGGCGGAAGCCUGAUGCAGCAACGCCGCGUGCGGGAUGACGGCCUUCGGGUGGUAAACCGCUUUCGCCUGUGACGAAGCGUGAGUGACGGUAAUGGGUAAAGAAGCACCGGCUAACUACGUG
rnacentral:rRNA from 1 species